GAGGUUCCCUGCUCAGCUCCUGGGGCUCCUCCUGCUCUGGGUCCCAUGAUCCGAUGGGGCCAUUGUGCUGACCCAGACUCCACUCUCCCUGUCAGUCAGCCCUGGAGAGCCGGCCUCCAUCUCCUGCAGGUCCAGUCAGAGCCUCCUACACACUGAUGGAAAGAAUUAUUUGAAUUGGUACCUGCAGAAACCAGGCCAGUCUCCACAGCUCCUGAUCUAUUAUGCUACCAACA